GAUGAACGCUGGCGGCGUGCCUAACACAUGCAAGUCGAACGGAGUCCAGCCUUUAAGACUUUCGGGUCAAAGAGGGGAAGACUGAGUGGCGGACGGGUGAGUAACACGUGGGCAACCUGGCUCAUAGAGGGGGAUAACAGAGAGAAAUUUCUGCUAAUACCGCAUAAGCACACACUGCCGCAUGGCAGAGGGUGAAAAGAGAAUCGCUAUGAGAUGGAUCCGCGUCUGAUUAGCCAGUUGGCAGGGUAAGAGCCUACCAAAGCGACGAUCAGUAGCCGAUCUGAGAGGAUGGACGGCAACAAUGACACUGAGCCACAGCCGAGACUCCUACGGGAGGCAGCAGUGGGGGAUAUUGCAAAGUGGCGGGAACCAUGAUGCUGCGACGACGGGUGAGUGAAGAAGUAUUUGGAUAUGUAACGCUCUAUCAACUGGGCAGGUAAUGACGGUACCUGAAUAAGAAGCCCCGGCUAACUACGUG
rnacentral:rRNA from 1 species